rnacentral:RNase_P_RNA from 1 species
UCUGGAAGAAGGACAGUCGCCAGGUACCGUACGGUACGUGGAGGAAAGUCCAGGCAGCAGAAGGCAGGGUGCGCGGCGUAAGCCGUGAUCGGUAACGACUAGUGGUUCUGAUUCGAAAGACGAUGAACACGUAUCUCGAAGUAACGGGACGCGAGAGCAACAGAGACGAGUCUUUUGUUUUUCUAAAGAAAACAGAAAGAGUGAAACGGGCAAUCCUCCCCGCUGCAACCUCUGAAAAGAGCGCCAUAAGGAUGCCUUCCCGAUCGAGUCUGACUCGAGCGCUCUAAGAUUGAGGGCUAAGAUAGAUGACUGUCGAGGAACAGAACCUGGCUUACUAGCUUCCAGAGUUU